CAACCCGAAGUAGCUCUUGGUUAGCUUUCUGGCUUCCUCAUCAGGUUGGUGGUGGUGGUGGUGGUGGGGGGAGGAGGUGUGGGCCCUGCCUGUGUAGGACCUGUGUAGUUGGGCCUGUAAUACCGAUGUUGUCUGUGUCUAGAAGUAGGGACAUGGACCUGGCUACCUGCUGCAUGGCUGAAGUGAGCUGCCUUCAACCUGUGUGAAACAGACCAGUUAGGUCAAGAGUGGGCCAACCUGUGGCAGAAGCCUGGAUGGAUGGGGAUACUGGAUGCUCCUGAAAGAAAGAAACAAGAAGAACAAAAAGGCAAAAGAGGGAGAGCAGCUCCAUCUAUUGGAAUCAGAGGAGAGCAGCACACACAGGGAGGGUGGUGCUGUCGAUGGGGAACGGGCCAUGGGCGACGGCCAGCCACACACCUGAACCUGGUGGAGGUUGAGGCCCGAGGGAACCUCAGUUCUCAGCUUGCAGAUCCAGAGUCCCUCGUUUCUUCUGCGCUGGCCGACCGUCCAAGACGCGCAUGUCUGCAGACCCGAGAUGGAGAGGUGCUGGGGAGAGUGCACCUGGAAGUGUUUGA